UACGUAGGGUGCAAGCGUUAAUCGGAAUUACUGGGCGUAAAGCGUGCGCAGGCGGUUGUGCAAGACAGAUGUGAAAUCCCCCGGGCUCAACCUGGGAAUUGCAUUUGUGACUGCACGGCUAGAGUGUGGUCAGAGGGGGGUAGAAUCCACGUGUGAGCAGUGAAAUGCGUAGAUAUCAGGAGGAAUACCGAUGGCGAAGGCAGGUCUCUGGGCUGACACUGACGCUCAUGCACGAAAGCGUGGGGAGCAAACAGG
rnacentral:rRNA from 1 species